CUUUUUUUCACUGCAAGUGAAGUUGCGUAGGUUUGUGACAACUUAGCCAAGCAGUAAUUGAUUUUACACAAUUUUUGGUCAAUUCGCAAACCAGAAAAAUUUGGCCAGGGAAAGGGAAUUUGUGAAAAUUUUCACGCAGGUCCAAGUUGUACUAACAUAAAGGUGACUCUCAAGUACCCUGCAUUCUGCAUAAUUUGAUGUAAGGAAAGUGGGGGCUUUAGGCUUUAUCAUGCCUUCUAACUACAUAAAUGACAGGACCGAACCUCGCAUGGAGGACAUGAGGAAAG